AGGAGUGGAGUGGUGUUGACUCAGGAACGUUGUUAGAUGAAGUUUGGAAAGCAUUUUCCAACAGGGAUAGAUAGGGAAAAGGCAAUGUGACCGGCUGGAAAGGAAAACGAGAGCCACGAGAACGCAGUUGGAACUCUAGAGGGUGCUAAGAGACCGCCCAACAGGGAAGGAGCAAGAGGAAGGUGAGGUGGAAAAAGGGGAACAAGGGGAGGCAGCAGGCUCCCAUCGUUUCCCAGACAACAAUCAGAAGAAAAGCAGAGCACACUUGGUAAGGAAAAAGCACCUUGGUCCGCGGGCUGGGAAGUUGGACCCUGCCUAACAGAGGGAAAAUAUUGAAGGGAUACAGGAGAUUCUACAUCAGCUUAACCCCUGAGGCUGGGGAAAGAAGAGCGAAAUUUUUGUUCCCCCACGUGAGAGGUGAGGAAGGCUGCCUUAACACUGAACUCUGUACAGGUACAGAAUGGG